rfam:Cavia porcellus supercont2_4 genomic scaffold, whole genome shotgun sequence.
GGGGAUUUAGCUCAGUGGCAUAAGCGCCUGCCUUGCAAGCAGGCAGUCGUGAGUUCGAUUCCUUGUACUUUAUA